UACGUAGGGUGCGGGCGUUAAUCGGAAUUACUGGGCGUAAAGCGUGCGCAGGCGGCCUCUUAAGUCAGAUGUGAAAUCCCCGGGCUCAACCCGGGAACUGCGUCCGAGACUGAAAGGCUUGAAUCCGGGAGAGGGAUGUGGAAUUCCAGGUGUAGCGGUGAAAUGCGUAGAUAUCUGGAGGAACAUCGGUGGCGAAGGCGGCAUCCUGGACCGGUAUUGACGCUGAGGCGCGAAAGCCAGGGGAGCAAACGGG
rnacentral:rRNA from 1 species